AACGAACGCUGGCGGCAUGCUUAACACAUGCAAGUCGAACGGAACGGCCCUGCUUUUGUGCGGUGCUCGGGUGACGACCGGGGGAGUAACACGUGAGUUACCUGCCCUUGACUGUGGGAUAACUUCAUACCACUGGGUCUCAUACCGGCUAGGAGCUCCUGCUGCAGGGUGGGGGUGGGAAAGUUUCGGCUGUUGGGGAUGGACUGGCGCCUUAUCAGCUUGUUGGUUGGGUAGUGGCUUAGCAAGGCCAGGACGGGUAGCCGGCCUGAGAGGGUGACCGGCCACACUGGGACUGAGAUACGGCACAGACUACUACGGGAGGCAGCAGUGGGGAAGAGUGCACAAGGGGCGGAAGCCUGAUGCAGCAACGCCGCGUGCGGGAUGACGGGCUUCGGGUUGUAAUCCGCUUUCGCCUGUCACGAAGCGUGAGUGACGGUAAUGGGUAAAGAAGCACCGGCUAACUACGUG
rnacentral:rRNA from 1 species